AAUUAAAAAAAAAAAAAAGAAAGAAAAAGAAAACGUCGAAAUCAGACUUGUAUCGUCGUUUAAUAAUAAUAAACCUCGUGCACUGCUUGGUAACGACGAUCUUUUAAUAAAAAUUCGUUAGUAGACGAUUCAAUCUGUCGGAACUUUUAAACUUGGAAUAUAAAAAGAGAAAGAGAGAUACAGAGAGGGAGAGAGAGAGAAAGAGAGAGAGAGAGUAAAAAAAUGAUAGAACCGCGCUGGAGACUCGUCCGUAACACUUCAUCGCAUUAAAACUCGCGCAUUUCGAUACCGUUAUGGAUGCCGCCAGUUGAUUUGAACGUAAAAGAUCUUUUUUCGGUUUAUUAGACGAAGGAAUGCAUAUCAUAGUUGUAAAUUACCAAUUUGUGAAAUAAAAGCUGCAAACUGUUUGUGUUAACAAUA